rnacentral:rRNA from 1 species
UACGAAGGGUGCAAACGUUGCUCGGAAUUAUUGGGCGUAAAGCGCACGUAGGCGGCUUUUCAAGUCCCAUGUGAAAGCCCACGGCUUAACCGUGGAAGUGCAUGGGAAACUGGAAGCUUGAGUACUUAAGAGGAUCGCGGAAUUCCCGGUGUAGAGGUGAAAUUCGUAGAUAUCGGGAGGAACACCAGUGGCGAAGGCGGCGAUCUGGGAAGAUACUAAC